rnacentral:ncRNA from 1 species
GCCGCUGACACGGGGUGCCGCAAGGCUGAGAUCACACCCGUCGAACCUGCUCAGACAAUGCUGGCGAAGGGAUGUCACGAUGGCUCUGC